AAACAAAACCAUUGGGUAAUAGCAAUUCCCCGUAUUUUCGCAUUUUUUUGAUCGAGUCCUGACUCGAAAAAUGCGAAAAUACGGGGAAUUGCUAUUACCCAAUGGUUUUGUU